rnacentral:ncRNA from 1 species
UAUUCUGGCUUAAAAUUUUAAUUUAUGGGUAAAUUAUAUGCUAAGUUUAUUGUUUUUGGGAUUUAUUAUAGAGUAAUAAAUUAUGAAAUUUAAUUUGUUAAUUUAUGCAAUAUAGAGAAUUAAAUAUAAAAGAAAUUUUGAUUUAGGGAUUCAUAAGAGUAUUGAUAAAAUUUGUGCCAGCAAUUGCGGUUACACAGAUAAUGCAAUUAAAUUUUUUCAGUAAGUAAUAUAUUUGUUUAUUAAUUAUUUAGAUUUAAGUUUAUUAGGUGAAAUUAGUAAGUUUAAUUUAAAUUGUUUAAAUAAAUAAUAAGGUUAUGAGGUUUUUGUAUUAAACUAGGAUUAGAUACCCUAUUAUUGAAAAUGCAAAUUAUUAUGCUAGAGUAGUAGUAGUUAUGUUCUUGAAAUUCAAAGAAUCUGGCGGUAUUUUAGUCUAUUCAGAGGAACCUGUCCUAUAAUUGAUAAUCCACGAUUAAUUGUACUUAUUUUUAGUUUGUAUAUCGUCGUAGUUUGAAUGUUUUAAGAGAAAAUUGAACAUUCAAGAUUUAUAAUAAUAAAGUAAAUCAGAUCAAGAUACAGCGUAUAGGUAAGAAGAGAUGGGUUACAAUAAAUUUAUUUAGAUGGUUAUUAUAUUUAACAAUAUAUUAUAAAGCGGAUUUGAUAGUAAUAAAGUUAAGUUAAAUUUUAUGAUUUUAGCUCUAAAAUAUGUACAUAUCGCCCGUCGCUCCUUCUUUAAAGAUGGAUAAGUCGUAACAUAGUAGGUGUACUGGAAAGUGUACCUAGAAUG